ACGGGGGGCAGCAGUGGGGAAUAUUGCACAAUGGGGGAAACCCUGAUGCAGCGACGCCGCGUGAGUGAAGAAGUAUUUCGGUAUGUAAAGCUCUAUCAGCAGGGAAGAAAAUGACGGUACCUGACUAAGAAGCCCCGGCUAACUACGUGCCAGCAGCCGCGGUAAUACGUAGGGUGCAAGCGUUAUCCGGAUUUACUGGGUGUAAAGGGAGCGUAGACGGCUUUGCAAGUCUGAAGUGAAAGCUCGGGGCUCAACUCCGGAACUGCUUUGGAAACUGUAGAGCUAGAGUGCAGGAGAGGUAAGUGGAAUUCCUAGUGUAGCGGUGAAAUGCGUAGAUAUUAGGAGGAACACCAGUGGCGAAGGCGGCUUACUGGACUGUAACUGACGUUGAGGCUCGAAUGCGUGGGGAGCAAACAGGAUUAGAUACCCUGGUA
rnacentral:rRNA from 1 species